UACGGAGGGUGCAAGCGUUAUCCGGAUUCACUGGGCUUAAAGGGUGCGUAGGUGGGUCUGUAAGUCAGCGGUGAAAUCUCCGAGCUUAACUCGGAAACUGCCAUUGAUACUAUAGAUCUUGAAUUAUCUGGAGGUGAGCGGAAUAUGUCAUGUAGCGGUGAAAUGCUUAGAUAUGGCAUAGAACACCAAUUGCGAAGGCAGCUCACUGCACAAUCAUUGACUCUGAGGCACGAAAGCGUGGGGAUCAAACAGG
rnacentral:rRNA from 1 species